rnacentral:rRNA from 1 species
UACGAAGGGUGCAAACGUUGCUCGGAAUCAUUGGGCGUAAAGCGCACGUAGGCGGCUUCUUAAGUCGGAUGUGAAAUCCCAUGGCUCAACCAUGGACGUGCAUUCGAAACUGCGAAGCUUGAGUAUGGAAGAGGGUCGCGGAAUUCCCGGUGUAGAGGUGAAAUUCGUAGAUAUCGGGAGGAACACCAGUGGCGAAGGCGGCGACCUGGGCCAAUACUGACGCUGAGGUGCGAAAGCGUGGGGAGCAAACAGG